GGGCGCUUGUCUGGUAGCUUUUCCACCCAACACCCAGGCCUGUGAUGAGCUAAUAUUCUUCGUCUAGGAAGCUCCAUCACUUCUAUUUGAAAGAGACACUUGGGCAGCAGACGCUGUGGCUCUGGGCUUGGGGGUGGGCAGGUCCCUUCCCUCCCUGGGCCUUGAAUCUCCUCUGAAGUGACGCUGUUGCCAGGUGGCCCUCCCCCUCCAGGAAGCCCUCUCCUCGUCUCGGCUGGACCCGGCCUCUCCUGACCCCGCGACCUCGGGCGAACCACAUCACAGCUCCAGGCCUCGGCUUCCCCGUCAGGGAAAGCGGGAGGUCAUGCUUCUGGUCCGGGGCUGCCGGGAAAGAAAACGCACAGCAAUUUCUUUAGGUCAGCACUCUUGGCUGCUGUGACGAGAACUCAAAGUGGCCCAAGGAAUCAGACGGUGACUGCUGGGCCAGGAGCAAGCAGCUUCAGGUGUGGCUGGUUCAAGAAGUUCAGACUCCAUCUUCCAAACCGGCCUCAGCCUUCAUCUCCCACUUUCUCCUCAGUGGAAGUGGCAGCCAGCAGCCGGCCCCUGACACCCUCACAGCCCCAGGCUUCUAAGGGCUGCAUCUCACUGGCCACCUGGGAUGCUGGCCGUGGCAGGGGGUGGGGACACAUGCUCCUGCUGGCCAGGCUGGAUCCAGUGCCCAGGACUCCUUAGAUUGUCCUCGGAAGAGGAAACGACCACACCCCCUCCCUGCACCAGGCCUUCCUGAGAGGGGCUGUCCUGCCUGGGCUGGUGACCUCUGACCCCAGCCCCCUGGAGCACCCCAGGAUAGGGCCCUGGAAUUCACGGCUCACACCCUGGCUCUGAGUGGUCCCUGGUCGGCUGCCCUUGGGACCUGGCCUGUAUCGGCUGGACGGGUCCUCUUCAGCUGUAGCUGUUUUUCUCACCAGCAGAGAGCAAAGUCCAUCAGAGAGUCUUAGCCUAGUUCUGCUGCGAUCUGGGGGCAUCCCUGGGGUGUGGGGAAGGCGUGGCCUGUGGGCAUCUCCACGCCCCCACCUGUGGGGCCUCAGCGGGCAGAAACAUCACAGGCAGGACGGAACCCAGGCCCAAAGCCCGAGAGCCAGUCCUGGGCUCGAGGACAGCUCCACAGCUGCCGUCUGUGCAACCUUUGGCUAGUGGUCCCCCUCUCCGAGCCUCAGUGGCCUCACAGACGGAGGAGGUCACUACAGGCAGAAGUACCUGCCAACCGGAGUUAAGGUGAUGCCUAAGAAGAGGUGGGCACAGACCUAGGGGUGCGGCCGAGGGCAGCAGGUGCUCUGCUGCGGGUAGCGGGGAGGGCGGUUCACGGAGUGGCUUGCAUACAGCAGGGGCUCAGUGAACAGCACGGAGCACCCACCCCAGAGCCCCGACGUUCUUGUGACAUGAGCCUGGGCGGGGCAGCUGCGGGCAGCAUGGCCACUCCUGUUGGGCUAGGGGACAGAGGCAGCCCCUCAGGUCCCUCUGCGCCUGAGACCCAGACAGGAGCCCCUUCCCUUGUCCUCCCUGGAGGCCUGGCCUCCACCUUUGCUGGCAAGGUGCCUGGCUGUGGCAGGCAGGUGCCCUGAGGCGGUGG
rnacentral:lncRNA from 1 species